CAAGAGUUACUGCUGCUCAUAAUCUGACUCCAUUCUCCUGAUGACUAUUUAAUCUAUUUGACAUUGUUCUUAAAUAAGGACCUCAGUCCUGCCAUUAUCAGCUUCCAACUCUUUUGCUAUAUUAAGUAGUUGAAAAGCAUCUAAGUGGAAUUUGUUCAAGCACAUAGUAACCUAUGAAGGGUUUAUUUUCCAUCUCCAUUAUGCUUAGUUACUUGCCUCAGCCCUCUAUC
rnacentral:lncRNA from 1 species